rnacentral:rRNA from 1 species
GACAGAGGUGCCGAGCGUUAGGCGGAAUCACUGGGCUUAAAGCGUGUGUAGGCGGGCGAUCAAGUACCUUGUGAAAUCCCACGGCUCAACCGUGGAACCGCUGGGUAUACUGGUUGUCUUGAGCCGGCUAGGGGCGAGCGGAACAGACGGUGGAGCGGUGAAAUGCGUAGAUAUCGUCUGGAACGCCGAAGGUGAAAACAGCUCGCUGGGGCCGCGCCUGACGCUGAGACACGAAAGCCAGGGGAGCGAACGGG